rnacentral:rRNA from 1 species
UACGAAGGGGGGCUAGCGUUGCUCGGAAUCACUGGGCGUAAAGCGCACGUAGGCGGAUUGUUAAGUCAGGGGUGAAAUCCUGGAGCUCAACUCCAGAACUGCCUUUGAUACUGGCGAUCUCGAGUCCGGGAGAGGUGAGUGGAACUGCGAGUGUAGAGGUGAAAUUCGUAGAUAUUCGCAAGAACACCAGUGGCGAAGGCGGCUCACUGGCCCGGUACUGACGCUGAGGUGCGAAAGCGUGGGGAGCAACGGGG